rnacentral:rRNA from 1 species
CCUACGGGUGGCAGCAGUGAGGAAUAUUGGUCAAUGGCCGAGAGGCUGAACCAGCCAAGUCGCGUGAGGGAAGACGGCCCUACGGGUUGUAAACCUCUUUUGUCGGGGAGCAAAGCGAGUCACGUGUGACUCUUUGAGAGUACCCGAAGAAAAAGCAUCGGCUAACUCCGUGUCAGCAGCCGCGGUAAUACGGAGGAUGCGAGCGUUAUCCGGAUUUUUUGGGUUUAAAGGGUGCGCAGGCGGAGGUGCAAGUCAGCGGUCAAAUUGCGGGGCUCAACCCCGUACUGCCGUUGAAACUGCAUCCCUUGAGUGCGCGAGAAGUAUGCGGAAUGCGUGGUGUAGCGCUGAAAUGCAUAGAUAUUGCGCAGAACUCCGAUUGCGAAGGCAGCAUACCGGCGGCGAUCUGACGCUGAGGCACGAAAGCGUGGGUAUCGAACAGGAUUAGAUACCCGUGUAGUC